AGCGAACGCUGGCGGCAGGCCUAACACAUGCAAGUCGAACGAACCUUUCGGGGUUAGUGGCGGACGGGUGCGUAACACGUGGGAACGUGCCUUUAGGUUCGGAAUAACUCAGGGAAACUUGUGCUAAUACCGAAUGUGCCUUUCGGGGGAAAGAUUUAUCGCCUUUAGAGCGGCCCGCGUCUGAUUAGCUAGUUGGUUGAGGUAAUGGCUCACCAAGGCGACGAUCAGUAGCUGGUCUGAGAGGAUGAUCAGCCACAUUGGGACUGAGACACGGCCCAAACUCCUACGGGAGGCAGCAGUGGGGAAUCUUGCGCAAUGGGCGAAAGCCUGACGCAGCCAUGCCGCGUGAAUGAUGAAGGUCUUAGGAUUGUAAAAUUCUUUCACCGGGGACGAUAAUGACGGUACCCGGAGAAGAAGCCCCGGCUAACUUCGUG
rnacentral:rRNA from 1 species